rnacentral:rRNA from 1 species
CCGGCCUGAGAGGGCGACCGGCCACACUGGGACUGAGACACGGCCCAGACUCCUACGGGAGGCAGCAGUGGGGAAUAUUGCACAAUGGGCGGAAGCCUGAUGCAGCGACGCCGCGUGAGGGAUGACGGCCUUCGGGUUGUAAACCUCUUUCAGCAGGGACGAAGCGUGAGUGACGGUACCUGCAGAAGAAGCGCCGGCCAACUACGUGCCAGCAGCCGCGGUAAGACGUAGGGCGCGAGCGUUGUCCGGAUUUAUUGGGCGUAAAGAGCUCGUAGGCGGCUUGUCGCGUCGACUGUGAAAACCCGUGGCUCAACUGCGGGCCUGCAGUCGAUACGGGCAGGCUAGAG